rnacentral:rRNA from 1 species
GUGAGGAAUUUUGCGCAAUGGGGGCAACCCUGACGCAGCGACGCCGCGUGGAGGACGAAGUCUUUCGGGAUGUAAACUCCUGUCAGUGGGGACGAUAAUGACGGUACCCACAGAGGAAGCACCGGCUAACUCCGUGCCAGCAGCCGCGGUAAGACGGAGGGUGCAAGCGUUGUUCGGAAUUACUGGGCGUAAAGCGUAUGUAGGCGGCAAGUUAAGUUCAAUGUUAAAGCCAACGGCUCAACCGAGGAGAUGCAUUGAAUACUGGCUAGCUAGAGGGUGUUAGAGGAAGACGUAAUUCCCAGUGUAGCGGUGAAAUGCGUAGAUAUUGGGAGGAACAUCGGUAGCGAAAGCGGUCUUCUGGGACAUACCUGACGCUGAGGUACGAAAGCGUGGGGAGCAAACGGGAUUAGAAACCCCGGUAGUCC